rnacentral:ncRNA from 1 species
UCACCAUCCAUCACGCCUUACCAGGACUAAACAGCGUGACUAAACAACAGUCCUUCAUACCCACUCUGGAGGGUAGAGUGGGAAUACUAUACUCA